AGUCAAAGGAUAGAACCAGCGAAGAGACGAAGAAAAGCACCGCCAACAUCCACCUCCUACAGUUUCAUCCUCUUUGACUGCCACCACCACCACCAUCAUCUCUUCUUCGUUUUUUCUUUUCUAUUCGUUUCUUCUAACCUGGAACCCUAAAUAGUAGAUACGAAUAUAAAUGUUUUUCCGAUUGUUUCGUAGAUUUCAAUUUGCUGAGGGGUAAAUUCAUACUCGGUGGUUUUUGGUCCUAUCUCUUACUCAUGUUUCUUCAUCCCAAAAUCGAUUAUACGAUUUUCUAGGGUUUUUUUUUCCCAUUAUACUUUCUUUAAUUUCAACAAGAGAAACAACUCAGCAUGGAAUGGGGAUGGGUAACUAUAAUCUGAUUAACUUGGGGUAGGGAUUGGAUUAAAGGUUACAUCUAAUGUUGCUUCUUUGUACUUAUGAAAUUAUUGAUUCCUUUAAUCGUUUUGAUUAUUCAUUUAGUGUAAAAUUUGGGUAUGAGUUUUAGAUUUUUAAUAGUUUCGGUAAUUUAGGUUAGGUUUUGGAUAGGAGUUGAAGAGAUGAUUCAGGGUAUGAAUUCAAUUUCAGUUGAACUUAGAAAAUCAAAUACCCUAUUUUCAGUUUCGUGUUAAAUGUUCAAUAUUUUCCUAUAACUUCUAUUUAUUUGUUGAAAUGCCUUAUAUAAAAUUUGUCUGCUUUGGUUCUUAAAGAAGUCAUGUGUAUAUAUAAAACUAACGUCAAAUUUUCAGUUGUGCUUUAUGGUAAUGAAGUAUACAAGGCUCCCGGAGUUCAGGGGUCUUAAACGGAACAACUUGCACAUCGUGGUGGGCGUCUUUGCUAGGACUGUACAUAUUAUCUUCGAAGUACAACUAUCGGGUAUGUAUUCUGCUGAAGUAGAAAGAAAGCUACUUCUGGUGAUGAUAUUGUUGAUUCUGAACGUUUCCAACUGAAUGCAAUCAUGUAAGAUACUGUUGCAUUCUUUUGUUAGUUUUUUGUUCAUUUUUUGUGGCAACUAGCUACUUGCUUUGGUGGAAAGAUAAGAGUGAAAUUUGGAAUUUGUAUUUACAACAAUGUCGUUGCAUUAUGUUUUGCAUCUACAGGUAAAAUAAAAAAUUUGCGUCUUCAUGUUACCAUGUAAAACAAGAAUUUUUUUUACAUUCACAAUAAAAUUUAUGCAAGCGCCA